rnacentral:rRNA from 1 species
CCAGCCUUGACAUCCCGGUGAAGGGCGUGUAAUGACGCCUGUGCUUCGGCACACCGGAGACAGGUGGUGCAUGGUUGUCGUCAGCUCGUGUCGUGAGAUGUUGGGUUAAGUCCCGCAACGAGCGCAACCCCUGCCCGCAGUAGCCAGCAAGAAAGAUGGGCACUCUGCGGGGACAGCCGGGGACAACCCGGAGGAAGGCGGGGAUGACGUCAAAUCAUCAUGCCCCUUAUGGCUGGGGCUACACACGUGCUACAAUGGCGGAAACAGAGGGAGGCGGAGCAGCAAUGCCGAGCAGACCCCGGAAAUACCGCCCCAGUUCGGACUGCGGCCUGCAACCCGGCCGCACGAAGCCGGAAUCGCUAGUAAUCGCGGAUCAGAAUGCCGCGGUGAAUACGUUCCC